UACGUAGGGGGCUAGCGUUGCUCGGAAUUACUGGGCGUAAAGCGUGCGCAGGCGGCCAUCCAAGUCAGUGGUGAAAGCCCGGAGCUCAACUCCGGAAUUGCCAUUGAAACUGUUUGGCUCGAGUACGAGAGAGGUGAGUGGAAUUCCCAGUGUAGAGGUGAAAUUCGUAGAUAUUGGGAAGAACACCGGUGGCGAAGGCGGCUCACUGGCUCGUAACUGACGCUCAUGCACGACAGCGUGGGGAUCAAACAGG
rnacentral:rRNA from 1 species